rnacentral:rRNA from 1 species
AUGUUAGUGCUAGUCUCGGCCAACAUCGCAUUGCCCAACUGCACCAGCAGAUGCGGCAACAUAAGCAUACCUUACCCGUUCGGCCUCAGUGCCGGGUGCCACCGUGAAGGCUUCGAGCUCACCUGCAACGAGACAUAUCAUCCCCCAAAGCUCUUCAUGAACAGCUCCGGAGUCGAAGUGCUUGAAAUAUCAUCGCAAGACAGCACACUGUACAUUGACAGUGGGAUCCUCACCUUGGCGGGCGAUGAGGGGCCCGACGGUUUUAUCCGUAUGAAUUGGUCAGUCCCCCUUAACGACAGCCUAUAUAGGACAGCAGGGAAUACAAUGAUUGUUCUGGGGUGUGGAAUCACUUUCCGUGUUCAAUGGCCUUCUGCUCAAAGCUGGCCUUAUCUUGGCGAGGAAUCUCCAAGCAGCUCUUGUCCUCUGAAAUGCAUGCCGCCCCAUCCUGUGAUAGCAACUGAUGGCAUAUGUCUUCAUGACAAUGGUUGUUGCACUACAGGUACCCGUUAUGACUCAAAUAGGUUUCUCAUCACGUACUCUGUGUACGAAGAGAACUUGCCGCUGCUCAACUCAAGUGUUGCUUUGGUGGAGUGGGAAUGGUUGAGCAAGAAGAAGAAUGUCAUGAUUCUGCAGAAGGCAGCAUCGUCUGACACCAGCCUUGGUGCCUCCAAAGGCGAUAUCGACGAGUGUGCAAGUCAAGGCGAGUACCCUUGCUUUGGUCGGUGCAUCAAUAUGAUAGGGUCAUAUACCUGUACCUGUCCGCAUGGCACCACUGGUAAUCCUCGAAAAAAAAAUGGAACUCAUAAUCUAGAUGAAAGUGAAUUGAUUAUGUACUCUCCAGGAUUUGCACCUGCGCUAGGAAUCGGCAGCGGUCUAGGCACUCUUCUGAUUAUUCUGAGUGCUCUCAUUGCAAGACGAAAGCUCUUAGUUUGGAAAGCAAGGAAGUCAAGAGAAUUUUUCUUCAAAAAGAACAGAGGGCUGUUGCUACAGCGGCUUGUAGACAAGGAUAUUGCUGAAAGGAUGCUGUUCAGUUUACAGGAGCUUGAGAAGGCAACAAAUAAGUUUGACGAGGCUCGAAAACUCGGAGGUGGAGGCCACGGUACUGUCUACAAAGGGAUUUUAUCUGACAAACAUGUUGUUGCCAUCAAGAAGUCAAAAGUUGUAAUCCAGAGAGAAACAGAUGAUUUCAUCAAUGAGGUUGCCAUCCUUUCUCAGGUGAACCACAGGAACGUAGUGAAGCUCUUCGGAUGUUGUCUCGAGACAGAAGUUCCAUUGUUGGUCUACGAAUUCAUUUCAAAUGGAACUCUUUCUGAUCAUCUUCAUGCCGGUACACCACUAUCAAUGCCAUGGAAAGACCGGCUCAGAAUAGCCAUUGAAACCUCAAGGUGCCUUGCUUAUCUGCACUCAGCUGCUUCAGUAUCAAUAGUCCAUAGAGAUGUCAAGUCCGCAAACAUACUACUUGAUGAUCGCGUCACAGCCAAAGUAUCGGAUUUUGGAGCUUCAAGAGGCAUCCCCAUUGGCCAAACUGGAGUCACAACUGCCGUUCAAGGAACUUUCGGAUAUUUGGAUCCGGAAUACUACCACACACGGCGACUCACCGAGAAAAGUGAUGUAUAUAGCUUUGGUGUCAUGCUUGUGGAGCUAUUAACAAGGAAGAAGCCAUGUGUCGACCUGUCAACACCAGGAGCCAGUCUAAUUGCUGAAUUCAUCUUGCGAGUGAACCAAGACAAAAUCUGUGAGAUGCUAGACCAGCAAGUCAUCGAAGAAGGGACUGAAGAGGCCAAACAAGUUGCAGCAGUAGCACUGAUGUGCUUAAGUUUAAAGGGUGAAGAUAGGCCCACAAUGAGGCAAGUUGAGACAAAACUUGAAGUGAUCCAAACUGUAGAAAGAAAUACACCAGUGGAACAAACCAACGCCAAUGCUGAUGAUGACAACUUCAGUAGACGAUAUAGUAUGGAGGAAGAGUGCAUGUCAUCUAUGAGUUUCCCUAGGUAG